AGAGUUUGAUCAUGGCUCAGGACGAACGCUGGCGGCGUGCCUAAUACAUGCAAGUCGAGCGGAAUUUUAAGAGCUUGCUCUUAAAAUUUAGCGGCGGACGGGUGAGUAACACGUGGGCAACCUGCCCUGUAGACUGGGAUAACUUCGGGAAACCGAAGCUAAUACCGGAUAAUCUUUUUUGUCACAUGGCAGAAGAGUAAAAGUUGGGUUUUACCUAACACUACGGGAUGGGCCCGCGGCGCAUUAGCUAGUUGGUAAGGUAACGGCUUACCAAGGCGACGAUGCGUAGCCGACCUGAGAGGGUGAUCGGUCACACUGGGACUGAGACACGGCCCAGACUCCUACGGGAGGCAGCAGUAGGGAAUCUUCCGCAAUGGACGAAAGUCUGACGGAGCAACGCCGCGUGAACGAUGAAGGCCUUCGGGUCGUAAAGUUCUGUUGUUAGGGAAGAACAAGUACCGUUCAAAUAGGGCGGUACCUUGACGGUACCUAACCAGAAAGCCACGGCUAACUACGUGCCAGCAACCGCGGUAAUACGUAGGUGGCAAGCGUUGUCCGGAAUUAUUGGGCGUAAAGCGCGCGCAGGCGGUCCUUUAAGUCUGAUGUGAAAUCUCGUGGCUCAACCACGAGCGGCCAUUGGAAACUGGGGGACUUGAGUACAGAAGAGGAGAGUGGAAUUCCAUGUGUAGCGGUGAAAUGCGUAGAUAUAUGGAGGAACACCAGUGGCGAAGGCGACUCUCUGGUCUGUAACUGACGCUGAGGCGCGAAAGCGUGGGGAGCAAACAGGAUUAGAUACCCUGGUAGUCCACGCCGUAAACGAUGAGUGCUAGGUGUUAGGGGUUUCGAUGCCCUUAGUGCCGAAGUUAACACAUUAAGCACCCCGCCUGGGGAGUACGGCCGCAAGGUUAAAACUCAAAUGAAUUGACGGGGGCCCGCACAAGCGGUGGAGCAUGUGGUUUAAUUCGAUGCAACGCGAAGAACCUUACCAUCCCUUGACAUCCAGAGAGCUUACUAGAGAUAGUUUGGUGCCUUCGGGAACUCUGAGACAGGUGCUGCAUGGCUGUCGUCAGCUCGUGUUGUGAAAUGUUGGGUUAAGUCCCGCAACGAGCGCAACCCUUAUCCUUAGUUGCUAGCGGUUAGGCCGAGAACUUUAAGGAGACUGCCGGUGAUAGACCGGAGGAAGGUGGGGACGACGUCAAGUCAUCAUGGCCCUUACGGGAUGGGCUACACACGUGCUACAAUGGCGUAUACAGAGGGCAGCGAGACCGCGAGGUGGAGCGAAUCCCAGAAAGUACGUCGUAGUCCGGAUUGGAGUCUGCAACUCGACUCCAUGAAGUCGGAAUCGCUAGUAAUCGUAGAUCAGAAUGCUACGGUGAAUACGUUCCCGGGCCUUGUACACACCGCCCGUCACACCAUGGGAGUGGGUUGCAAAAGAAGUAGCUAGUCUAACCUUCGGGGGGACGGUUACCACUUUGUGAUUCAUGACUGGGGUGAAGUCGUAACAAGGUAACC
rnacentral:rRNA from 1 species